CAGCUGUCUUUCCGAGAGUGUUCUGCCAUGUUUUGGAGCUGUGAGGUGGUUCCACAGACCCACACAGCUGCCCACACACUGUCGUCCUCCCUCCCCAAGUUCUGGAAGAACCGGAGGCUGGUGUUGCAGUUCUUUGAAGUAAGGCCAAGCGUGUCAGCUGACUGACUCCACCACUUCCACCUGUAGGGACUUCAAGACUCACACCACACGUUCAGCCCUGGGUAAGAACUGCUGUGCUCAAAGGCUGGGCCAGGCUCCAGGUUUUUCUCUUUGGUUCAUGGAUUAAAGUGGAAUUUUCCAGAAAGGCUUGAUCCAGGAACAAUCCUUCUCUUUGGUCUGCAGGUUCUUUCUGUGUGCAGCAGAACAACACCAGCUCCCCACUGCCCUGCAGGCAUGGGUAGCUAACUCAUCUCUGCCCACUCCAUCAGCUGUCACACCUCAGAGAAAGGAAGGCAGGUGCUUCCUCCCAACAAAGGACCUGAUUUUGGUGUGGAUUUCACUGAUUUACCUAAAAGAGUCAGGAGUUUAUUCAUAAAGUGUACAUAAAAGGUAUCCCUCUGUUUUAGUAAGUGAUACAUUAUUAUUAUUAAAGGAAACAUAAUUUCCUUGAACAAACAACUUGCCUUUUCUCGCCUUACUUUCCCCUUCUAUAAAGUAAAAGCGUUUAUAAUUGCCUUUGAGGUUCUAGACUUAAUACUAUUAUAUGAAAAAUAGCUAAGAAUACCCAUAAAAAAUUAAAGGAUGGUGACUGGAAAGAUGGCUCAGUGAUUAAGAGCACAAACCUAAUUUUUUCCUAGCACUCACACUGGGUAGCUCACCAUCACCUAAAACUCCAGAUCCAGAAGAUUGACAUUGGUAGCUUUCACAGGCAUCCACACGGAUGUGUACAAAUCCAUUCAUAGACACAAACACUUAUACACACACUUCAAAUGGAAUAAGCCUUUUGAAAAUGAAAGGGUGAUUUUUCCCAUGUAAAUGGGUUCUAGCUGACAAGUUUUUGACUGAUAAAUUAUUUCUUCC
rnacentral:lncRNA from 1 species